rnacentral:rRNA from 1 species
CUAUAUCACCAUGGACACACCUGAUCUCAUCUGAUUUGGGAAGCUAAGUGGGUCAGGCCUAGUGAAUUGGAUGGAAGACCACCAGGGAAUACCAGGG